AGUGUAGCUUGGUGGUAAAGCCCUUGCCUCUCAUGCAUGAGGCCCUGGGUUCGAGCCCCAGCACU
rnacentral:tRNA from 1 species